rnacentral:rRNA from 1 species
UAGGGAAUCUUCGGCAAUGGGGGGAACCCUGACCGAGCAACGCCGCGUGAGUGAAGAAGGUUUUCGGAUCGUAAAGCUCUGUUGUUAAGGAAGAACGAGUGUGAGAAUGGAAAGUUCAUACUGUGACGGUACUUAACCAGAAAGGGACGGCUAACAACGUGCCAGCAGCCGCGGUAAUACGUAGGUCCCGAGCGUUGUCCGGAUUUAUUGGGCGUAAAGCGAGCGCAGGCGGUUAGAAAAGUCUGAAGUGAAAGGCAGUGGCUCAACCAUUGUAGGCUUUGGAAACUGUUUAACUUGAGUGCAGAAGGGGAGAGUGGAAUUCCAUGUGUAGCGGUGAAAUGCGUAGAUAUAUGGAGGAACACCGGUGGCGAAAGCGGCUCUCUGGUCUGUAACUGACGCUGAGGCUCGAAAGCGUGGGGAGCGAACAGG